GAUGAACGCUGGCGGCGUGCCUAAUACAUGCAAGUCGAGCGAAUGGAUUAAGAGCUUGCUCUUAUGAAGUUAGCGGCGGACGGGUGAGUAACACGUGGGUAACCUGCCCAUAAGACUGGGAUAACUCCGGGAAACCGGGGCUAAUACCGGAUAACAUUUUGAACUGCAUGGGUCGCAAUCGAAAGGCGGCUUCGGCUGUCACUGAUGGAUGGACCCGCGUCGCAUUAGCUAGUUUGUGAGGUAACGGCUCACCAAGGCAACGAUGCGUAGCCGACCUGGGAGGGUGAUCGGCCACACUGGGACUGAGACACGGCCCAGACUCCUACGGGAGGCAGCAGUAGGGAAUCUUCCGCAAUGGACGAAAGUCUGACGGAGCAACGCCGCGUGAGUGAUGAAGGCUUUCGGGUCGUAAAACUCUGUUGUUAGGGAAGAACAAGUGCUAGUUGAAUAAGCUGGCACCUUGACGGUACCUAACCAGAAAGCCACGGCUAACUACGUGCCAGCCGCCGCAGUAA
rnacentral:rRNA from 1 species